rnacentral:rRNA from 1 species
UAGGGAAUCUUCCGCAAUGGACGCAAGUCUGACGGAGCAACGCCGCGUGAGUGAAGAAGGAUUUCGGGUCGUAAAACUCUGUUGUUAGAGAAGAACAGCGCAUAGAGUAACUGUUAUGCGUGUGACGGUAUCUAACCAGAAAGCCACGGCUAACUACGUGCCAGCAGCCGCGGUAAUACGUAGGUGGCAAGCGUUGUCCGGAUUUAUUGGGCGUAAAGCGAGCGCAGGCGGUCAAUUAAGUCUGAUGUGAAAGCCCCCGGCUCAACCGGGGAGGGUCAUUGGAAACUGGUUGCCUUGAGUGCAGAAGAGGAGAGUGGAAUUCCAUGUGUAGCGGUGAAAUGCGUAGAUAUAUGGAGGAACACCAGUGGCGAAGGCGACUCUCUGGUCUGUAACUGACGCAGAGGCUCGAAAGCGUGGGUAGCAAACAGG